rnacentral:tRNA from 1 species
CAAUUUGGUAGUUUAAAAUGAAGGAUGCAAGUUUUGGGUAUUUGUGGUUUUUGAGGAGCCAAUUGA